rnacentral:lncRNA from 1 species
GGCAGAUAAGAGAAGAAACGCAGGCUGCGCGAGGUAGUAGUGGUAAUCAGUGGGGUAUGUUUCUAGGGUGUGCAAGGCUUUGGUCUUUCGCUCUUUGCAGUAAGUGUUGUUGCUGCUUUCUGUUUGGGUUCAUGCUGCUUUUAUGAGAUGUAACACCGUGAAGGUGUGCAGCUUCAUUCCUGAAGCCAGUGAGACCACAAACCCAUCGGGAGAAACGAGCAACUCCAGACAUGCCGCCUAAAGAGCUGUAACACUCACCGCGAAGGUCUGCAGCUUCCCUCCUGAUGUAACAAGAUCACGAACCCACCAGAAGGAAGAAACUCCGAACACAUCCGAAUAUCAGAGGGGACAAACUCUGAACACGCCGCCUUUAAGAACUGUAACAACGGGAGGGUCCGUGGCUUCAUUGUUGAAGUCAGACCAAGAACCCACCAAUUCCGGACACAGAAGCACACAUUUACAAACAACAAACAUGUUCAUUAUAAAUUGUAACAUCUAUACCUGUGCGUGAUGAAGCAACUACAGGAAAACCUCCGAUUAGUAACCAAGGUUUGCUCACUCCAGCAACUUGAAAUUGAGCAUUUUAUAGCAGCAGGUGACUUCAGAGACUGGCCAAGCAAAAACCUCAUCUAAUAGGGUCUCACUUUGUCACCCUAGGCUGGAGUGCAAUGGUGCCAACACAACCAACUGCAUCCUUGAUUUCCUGGGCUCCAGUGAUCCUCCUACCUCAACCUCUGGAGUAGCUGGGACUACAGGUGCACCACCAGACUUGGC